AAAGUUCGGGAAUCUCAACUCGAAUACCUCACUGCACCGGUACCGGUUAUGAGCCACAUUCAGCGAAGAGUUUCUGGUCUUUGUCCCCUUAAUGCAUUAUAAAUUGCAAGGAAAAUGAAAAAGAAAAAAAAACAGGAAUUCUAUAGGUUUAGCUAAGACGAUUUCGGAAAUUAGAAACUUAUUCCUUUUUUGUUUGGUGCGAGCUCAACUUA
rnacentral:lncRNA from 1 species